UUUAAUUGAAGAGUUUGAUCAUGGCUCAGAUUGAACGCUGGCGGCAGGCCUAACACAUGCAAGUCGAGCGGUAGCACAGGAGAGCUUGCUCUCUGGGUGACGAGCGGCGGACGGGUGAGUAAUGUCUGGGAAACUGCCUGAUGGAGGGGGAUAACUACUGGAAACGGUAGCUAAUACCGCAUAACGUCUACGGACCAAAGUGGGGGACCUUCGGGCCUCAUGCCAUCAGAUGUGCCCAGAUGGGAUUAGCUAGUAGGUGGGGUAAUGGCUCACCUAGGCGACGAUCCCUAGCUGGUCUGAGAGGAUGACCAGCCACACUGGAACUGAGACACGGUC
rnacentral:rRNA from 1 species